GUCCUACUGACGAGUCCCAAAUAGGACGAAACGCGCAUCCUGAAU
rfam:Schistosoma curassoni strain Dakar, Senegal genome assembly, scaffold: SCTD_scaffold0005801